rnacentral:rRNA from 1 species
GGCGGGCUGCUAAUACAUGCAAGUCGAGCGGACAGAAGGGAGCUUGCUCCCGGAUGUUAGCGGCGGACGGGUGAGUAACACGUGGGUAACCUGCCUGUAAGACUGGGAUAACUCCGGGAAACCGGAGCUAAUACCGGAUAGUUCCUUGAACCGCAUGGUUCAAGGAUGAAAGACGGUUUCGGCUGUCACUUACAGAUGGACCCGCGGCGCAUUAGCUAGUUGGUGGGGUAAUGGCUCACCAAGGCGACGAUGCGUAGCCGACCUGAGAGGGUGAUCGGCCACACUGGGACUGAGACACGGCCCAGACUCCUACGGGAGGCAGCAGUAGGGAAUCUUCCGCAAUGGACGAAAGUCUGACGGAGCAACGCCGCGUGAGUGAUGAAGGUUUUCGGAUCGUAAAGCUCUGUUGUUAGGGAAGAACAAGUGCGAGAGUAACUGCUCGCACCUUGACGGUACCUAACCAGAAAGCCACGGCUAACUACGUGCCAGCAGCCGCGGUAAUACGUAGGUGGCAAGCGUUGUCCGGAAUUAUUGGGCGUAAAGGGCUCGCAGGCGGUUUCUUAAGUCUGAUGUGAAAGCCCCCGGCUCAACCGGGGAGGGUCAUUGGAAACUGGGAAACUUGAGUGCAGAAGAGGAGAGUGGAAUUCCACGUGUAGCGGUGAAAUGCGUAGAGAUGUGGAGGAACACCAGUGGCGAAGGCGACUCUCUGGUCUGUAACUGACGCUGAGGAGCGAAAGCGUGGGGAGCGAACAGGAUUAGAUC